rnacentral:lncRNA from 1 species
GCCCUUUAUCAGGUAUGGGGUCUAUGGGAAAAACUUGAAGUGUACCAUACCUGGCUUCGUCAGCAACCAGGUGGACACGGAUAUGAGACAACUUCUCUUAUCCCUAGAUCAUUUCUGGCACCUUUCUUGCACUUGUCUCCAUUCCUAUCCCGUUUCUUCUUCUCUAUGCCCCCUAGAACUCCGUGAGUCAGCCCAGAGGCUGAGCCAGGGAGAGAGAAAGGAGACCCUUUUUCAGUGAGCCUUCGGAAGUAUUUGGGAAAUAACACCCUCCCAGCCCCCGUACCCUGAGGUUCAGAAGAGAAAUCCUUCUGCUUCUCUCCCUCCUAAGGAACUUGGGCGAGAGAAAUCACUCAUCAAAACACGUGGACCAGAGGUACUUAACCUAUUCUGUAGAACUUGACAACCAGGUGGAGGAUUUUUUUUUUUUUUAACACUAAGCAAUCUCCCUGGACCUCCUCGGGUCCAAACGCAGGGAAGAAAGCAAAGGGGACUCAUAGAACUGUAGAGCAAGAAAGGCUCACCUCGUUUUACAGAGGAACAAUCAUAUUCCCCAAGACGGGGAUUCAAACCCAGACCCUGUCUCUAAAACCAGGGUUCAUUCUACUACCUCCCAAAUGCCCUCAGCCACUUGUAACUCCUGCACCACGUCUCGCGUUGGCAGGCGAGGUGAGAGGGGUGUCUGUGGGGCUUCUGGCGUUAUUUUUUUCCUUCCCAGGAGGUCCCCCCCCACCCCUUUGAAGCUCCGCAUUGCUGCGGCCAUCUAUCCACCUGUUGGGGUUUGGCCGGAGCUGCAGAGCCAAGAGCAAGCGGAGCCCCGGAGACCCCAGGAAGGCGCCCAGACUCCCUCCCCGCCUUCCGGGCGGAGCUCGAGCUGGAGUGUAGCCGCCUUCCCUGCCUCCAGCCUUCCCCGCCCUCCUCCGCUUCCUCCCCCGGGCAGCUGCUUAGGUCUGCGCUGCCCGCCUGUACCACCCAGCUCUGCCGGGAGGAGAGGAGGGAGGAGGACGCGGAGGAGAGCGGGAGAGCUAGGAGGAGGAAGGAGAGGGCCAAAGCCGGGAGGUGGUGGUGGUGGAGGAGGAGGGGAAGGGCUGGCAGCAGGAGGGGGUGCAAGGGCAGCGCCUGGCGCUCUGCGCGCCCACCCCGGGGGAGCCCUUGGCUCUGACACCGAAACAACCUCGGAGCUCACUCCUUCUUUACCACCCUUGCUGCCUGGAGUCUCCGUCAGACUCAUGUCACACAAGCCGGUUGGCGGCCCCCCAGGCGAGGAGGAAGUUGACUGGUGCUUGUAUCAGCUCAAUGGGACAGCGGAGUUUGAAGUCUCCGAAGGUAAGGGGCAGUAAACCCCGCGCAGUGGUAGUGAAGGUGAUUGAUUCUCUGCUAGCUGGGGCUGGGCUGUUGUCCCUGAGAAUUCUCUCUGGGUUGGGGAGUGGGGGCGGAUGGGAAGGCGGGGAGGCCGCGCCUACAUAGACCUUGUCAAUCCCGUUGGAACUCCUGGUAACCCUGAAAGGUCUCUAGUAGUGUCCUCGUCUGGCCAAAGUGGCUCAGAUGGAGGAGUGUACAUGGGAUUGGGGGAAGGAGGAGAGGAGAGUGAAAGAGUGGGGUGCGGUUGGGAGAGGUGUUAAUUUGAGGCUGGUGACUGAAGAGAAGUACUUUGCUCUAGGAGAGUGGUAAGAGACAGGCAACAAUAUUUCAGCUGCAUUUGCUUUUCUGCCUGGAGUUGGAACCAGAGUAGGCUGGGUGACUGAUUUUUUAAUCGCUCCAGGCCACACUUCCGAAGUGCUUUGGGGAAUCGAGAGAUCCAGAGAACUUGCCAAGCAGUACUAGGAUUGUGGGCUAUUUUUAUUUGGGGGAGCUGCUUUCCUGUGAAUUACAUAUGUUGCUUUCUCCUUUUCUUCCUUCUCUUAAAAUGAGGGGGCUGAGCAAGGUGAUCUCCGAGACCCCUUCCAGCUCUAAACCCUAUGCACACCAAGCAAUUACAUUUGGAAUCAUAGGAUCACAAUGGUUAAUGGGACUUGAGAUCAUCUUGUCAAUCUCUUCACUUUACAAAGGAGGAAAACUGAGGCUCAGAGAGAGAAGUGUUUUGGUCCAUCAGUGACUGAAUGAGGGGCAGUUGAGAGAGAUAUGUAGGCAAAAAUAACAUGACCCUCUUGUCCCGCUCCCUGCCCCCCUAAAAAAACCACAACCAAAAACCCAAUAAGCUGUUUUCUGCUGAGAUUUGGAAGAGAAUGCAGAAUCAGUAGGCAGAGAUGCUAAAAGGGUUUUCCAGAUGGCAGGAACUGCUGAGAAAUUUCUUACACCAAUAGGGGCAAGAUUGUGUGGUCAGACAGAACAGAACAGUCCUUAGAAAUGGAAGGAUGAUUCCAGGCAUUUGAAUGCUGAAAAGUCUUAAAAGGAAACUCCAUCUGUAUGCAACAGUGUGUUUCCAGGCACUGAGAAACAUUUCUCUUUUUUGCUUCAUCAGCGAAAACAGGGAGCAAGAGAGAUUAUUGCAGGAAAUCAAGAACAUUUUAUGACAUGUGUGUAACUAUCCAACCUAGUUUCAUGUACUACGAAAGGUGGGGAGUACUCCUCCCCCUUGAAGUGAACUUUUAUUUACAAAGCUAUGUGAUCCAUUUAAAAUUGUAUUUCUAGAAAUAGUUUACUUCUAUGGACUCCAUUCACAUUUAAAAGUCCUGCUUUUUCAUCUGUGAGACUGCAUAGGAAAUGCCUUCUUCCUCCCCCAACUCCUACACAACACAAUGGUAUAAUUUCUAGCUUCUGAUAGAAGGCUUCAGUGUGAAAAGCUGACCUUACCUUAGACACAGCUCCAUAGAAAUUUUCAUGAGAAAGAAGAAGGUGGCAAGCCAUAUCAGGCUUCAAGUAGUGUUUUCUUUUUCCUAGUCAUAGACUCAGAAUUUUUGAGUUGGAAAAGGCUGAAGAGGCUACAUGGUCUAACUCCUAGCUAAAUUCUAUUCCAUCUAUAGCACUGCUAAUAAGGCAUUAGCUAACUUAUAGAAUUCCUGUGAUGGUGACCUCUUUAGUUUUCCUUCAUCACUUCCCCCCAACCCUUUCUGUUUUUGCACACAUUUAUUAUUAAAAAAGAGAGUUAGCUGGUACAGUAUAGUAAAAAACCAACGGGACUUGAACUUAAAUUCUGAUUCUGACAUUGACUAGCUGUUGGAUUCUGGACAAGUCAAUCAUCCUCUUAGGUGUAACAGGUUAAUAUCAAUAAAAAAGAAGAAAUUGAACUAAGUUAACUCCA